ACCUCACCCUGCCCUGGCGAGGCAGGAAAGGGUGUAAAGUCACCGGCUCCCUCCCUUGGUCACAAUAACAAGCCCGGCGCCGGGGCAACCGAGCGGCCAGCAGCGCCCAGGGUGUCCCCCGCCGCCUCCCGACAGCUCCGCCGCCCGUCUUGGCGCGGCAUCCUCCCUUCGCCCUCUCUCUUCUGCGCCCCCCUCGCCGGCAGCGGAAUACAGCGCUCGGGUGGGUUGGAGCUAACCCGGCCCGCAUGGAGCCCCCAGAGCGCGAGGCCGGCCCUCUCCUGCCGCCCAUCCAUGGCACCGCCAUGCCGCCGCCACCGGCCUCCAUUCCCUUUAUCCCCCCGUGGAGACCCAGGUCAGCGCGGCCGGCGCCCCCGGUAGGCAGACUAAAGUGGGAUCCUUAUGAAACGACAAUGAGACACGAUUUUGUCUUUAAUCCUGCAACAGAUCCUGGUGCAGAUUGUGCCAGAGCAGGCAAAGGGCAUGUCAUUCCCUUUCAAGUAGAUGAGCCUACUGGAAGGAAUAACUACAGAGAUGAGUUCUGUUGGAAGCCUUAUUCCAAGGCUGAACCUAUAAGGGCUGGCUCUGCAAGGAGAAACAAUCCUCAGCCUGGAGAACGGUUCCUGAUUUGGCAAAUGCCUCGAGAGGAAACACCAAUAUCUAUAGAAAGUUAUUCACCUUGGACGAAACCUAUUAGUAAGCAAGAGAUCGAGGAUGUAUUAAAAAAACAGUAUAAAACAGCUUAUGCGAGAGAUUAUUUAGGAAUACAACCAGGUGCUCCAAGAGAUGGUGCUCCUGCUCCUUCAGACUGGAAAAUGUUAGUCCCCAAGCCACCAGAUACUGAAUUCAGGCAUAAUUACCAGCCCCAAGCCAAUAAUCCAGAUUUAAGGGACUAUACUUGGAAAUAUGGAUGUAAUGCGAAGCGCCAUAUUCCAGUGAAAGGCGCUGUUCCUUCAGUAUCUUUUGCUCAGAUCUGGAAUCAUGAACAUACCAAACAUCUGACCACAUACCAAAGAGAUUUUGGGAAAGAUUAUAAUGAGAUCCUGUCCGUUUUGAAUUCUUUAGACCCAGAAGAAAUUAAAGCAUAUGUGGACAGAGCUCCUCUUCCAGGUAGGUAGGGGUGGAGGAUAAUAAACUGCAAUAGGCAUUGGGGGAGCCAAAAGCAGCGAAGACUUCCUGAAUGACAAAAUCUUCUAAGUGUUCUCAUUUUUCCAUUUGUAGAGCUGAUCUGAUUCUGUUUGCUCAACCAAAUGAAUUACUUGACAGUCUUGAGACUUAAAACAUGCAGUUUCAACUACUAUAGAUUCUAUGCAUGUUUGCUGCAGGGAAUUGUAGGACCAGGAUAGUUUGAACACUGUACAUGAUCAAAUUAGUCAUAAUAUUUAUCUCCUGCCCUAUGUCCCAGGAGAUUAAAAUGAUGCAAGUGGGGCUCUGCAACAAAAUGUUGCAGUGUAUCUUGGGUGUGUGUAGCCAUCCAUGGCCGAGGAGGUAGAAAACUCCCCCAAAGUUAGCAUGAAAGACAGGAGUCUCUGCUGUAAUUUGGGUCCAUGUCCACAAUUUUGGUUUUCUAGUAUUUCCAAGGGUCACCAGUUUGCAUGGCAGUCAGUAGAGCAUAAGGCUCCUGCAUGCUAUUGAGUACUUGAAUUGACCUGGGAGGAAGUAUGAGAGGGAAAUUAAGUAGAUUGACCUAAGAGGGGAUUUCUCACUGGAGGAAGCCAACUCUACUCUCUCAGCACAGCCCUCCAACUUGUAAUAGGGAUAUACAACAUAACACAAUGCUGUUGCAGCCUACUUCCUCAGCCCAACAUGCAGUAUGGGGAUAAAAACAGUGGAUUAACAUUGCAGGGUUGUUGUAUAUUACAGACAGCCUCUGCCUAAUUCCCAACUGCAGUAGUGGUCUAAUACAUCUGGACAACACUCCAGUUGUAAACCACUUGCAGUGUUUAGUGUGAUCUACAUUGCAAAGCUGUCCCAAGCACAGCCUCUCCAACUUCCAGUAUCGGGACAAUUGACACCAUUUGCUUUGGAAUUUGCAUUAGCUGGUUAUUUUUUAAAAUGCAUGUUUCACCUGAAAUAUUAACUGAGUUAAAACAGCAGGAGCUUUUCUCUUUGCUGCUACUGCUACCUUUUGGGUUUUUUUAGGGUGGGUGGAGUACUGGUGCCCAAAUCCAACUACAUUAAGAAUUUAGAUUUGUCCAUUGAUGUCUAUGGGCAGUUCUCACUUCCAUCCAUGAGGUCAUGCUCAGUGCAAAGCAGGACAUGUCCUAUCCAGAUAAUGUGAUAAUUCUCCCCUUUUUAAAUCUAUGUGUCUCUUCCUCCAUCUUCCUUUUCCAGGAUACUCCAUUCUCCCACCUGUGGUCCCACCCUUAAACUGUCAGUCAGCACUCAAAUGCAACUGAACAUUGCUCAGUCUUCGUCGGGAUGUUUGGUUUUAUUUUCUACUUCCCCCUGGGGUUUCCUCCUAAAGAUCUUUCCUACUUCUGCUGACCUCUAGGUUCCUCUGAGUUUGCUGACAUAUCUUUCUGUUUGUGAUAUUGUUUUGGCUGUGCAUGUUUUUGACUGAAGAUGGGAAAGAAUGGGGACAAGUUGGGGGUCUUGCAAGAAAAAGUUGUGUGUACGUGUAUGUUUGGAGAGGGGAGGCUUCGAAGCUCUCCCUACUCCGAGUAAACAAGUGACUGGCAGCUGCCAAGAGAACAACUGAACAGGUAGGCAGAUUGCUGGUGAGAGAACAAGUGAAUGGCUUGUGAGAGGCGGAACAGCAGAGAGCCUACGGGUGAAUGAAUACGUGAAUGGGUGGCUUGCUGACUAGUGAGUGAGUGAGCAAGUGAACGGUCAGGUGCUGGCUGAUGCAAGAGUGAAUGAAUGAGCAGGAGCCCAUGGGGGAGAGCAAGGCUGCAUACACACCAGACAUUUCAAGUUGCUGGCUGCUGAGAGAGAAUGGGCAGUGGUUGGCUACUAUCAAGAGAGCAAGUGCAUGUGUCUUUAUAUCUAUGUGUCUCCUCUUCUGCCUUUCCCCCAUCUCUCUGUUCCAUUCCCCUUUCCUCCCAGCUUUCAGGGUUUCUUUUUUAACUCAUCCGGCAGAAAGCAUUCUGUGGCCACUGAGUAUGCUCAGCCCUCAUUGGGCUGUUUGAAGGGGGGGUUCUUCUCCUCCAUUUCUCUUUUCUCUAAAAACCUCAAGGUUACCCCUGGUUUGCUGAUACCUCCAUCUUGUGCAUGACUAUUGCCAUUUUGGCACUCAGAGAACUGAAUUAUAUUUGGGAUAUUGGAUGAUGCAUCACUAGAAUGAUAUCCUAGCUGUUCCCAUCCAGGUUGCUGACUAGAUCCAGGUCUACUUAGUGACAGAAGCACACCAGGCAUCUUUGUUUCCUCCUAUUAAGUUUGAUGUGAUGGCCGAAUUAUCUGUGCUGUUUUGGUGACUAUAUACGAAGCCAGUAUUUCCUAUAGGAAGCCCAGAAGGAUUUCCUCUGAAAAAUAUAG